GCCUGCUGUCCUUCCUGCUCCCCAGGGACUGGGACGGGCAGAGGGCGGCUGCUGGGCCCUCAGGGACCCGGGUCAGCCUGGCCACAGGGACUGCGACAUCCUGGACCCCCACGAAGCUGCCUCCUUCAGGCACCUCUCUGCUGGUGUGUUCCUGGGUCCCUACGCAUCUCGGUUUCGCUCUUAGACACCCUGGCUGUGACGCUCAGCUCUGUCACCGGUUUCCACACACCAAAGCCAAACAAACCACUUCACCAUGCAUUCUGAUGGAAGCGGAUAAGGCAUUUUAAAAAGACAAUCCUAAACUUCACACUAUGACUGCAACAUCGAGUGUGUUCACACCAGAAGAUUCUGCCUCCGCUCUAGUGCAUCGCUAGGUGGGUGGUUCCCUACUCCCAGACUGUGGAUCCCCUGGAGGGCCAAAGUCUAGAGAAGAAACUCAACUCAAGCUUCUGGAAGGCGAGGGUAGGAGGCACAGAAAGCAGGAAACCGCCGAAGGCAGGUUGAACGUGGAAGAUGGGGGCCGAAGGACCUCACAGACAGCAUCACUAAGGGGUUCUUUUCAAAGACGGACUGGGGUUUUCUGGCCUUGGCUGAGGAUCACGGAACAGUCGACAGGCCAGGGGCUCUCCUACCUGACCCGGCAGCCACAGGACAACCUCGAGCACUAUUUGGGAAAGUGAGAAGGCUGAGUCUAAGGGGAGGUGAAGUCAGGAUAAGGUUCUGAGGGUGUGAAAAUCCACACCCAGUGGUUCCGGCCCUCUGGCUGCGUCCAGGGCACCAAGAGCAAGUGUGUCAACAUUUGCCCUGAAGCUCACAUCUACAGCUGGGGGACACCUGCUGGCCCUUGGCCCCCACCUGUCAGGAAAGGUCACUAGUCCUCAGGGGGGAUAGCCUGCUCUGGUCACCAGUCGGAGGGUUGGCAGAACUUUGAACAGCUGGGGAUUGGCACUCCCUGCCCAGAGCACUUCCUUCCCUGCUGCCCGCCUCUGGAGGGGGCUUCCAGAGACAGAAGGCACCUGGUGCUCAUUCCAGAGCCCACUGUCCGGGGCUGUAGACCCACAGGUUAACCCUCUGGGGCCACAGGCCUGGAUUCCUUGAUAGGCGAGCUCUCAAGCGCGGGGUAGGAAUUCUGCCAGAGCACCUCUUCCAGAGCAUGGCUGUGAGGAUUAGACCUGAAAAGGCCUUAGAACGGUGCCUGAAAUUAUGAUGCUCUUACAGGAGAAGCCAACAGAACCAAGCAAGGAAUAAGUGGAUGUGGAGAGGAGUGGGUG